rnacentral:tRNA from 1 species
GGCCCGUUAGCUCAGUGGUAGAGCGUCCCGUUUACACCGGGCCGGUCGGCAGUUCGAAUCUGUCACGGGCUACCA